rnacentral:lncRNA from 1 species
AGAGGCCGAAGUCGGGCCAGACCGGCUGGACACCAUGCUAUUCACCGAGACUGCUCACUUCGUGGUGAAUUUUCUUCUGUCCCGGUGAGGGGCCCGAGGGAAGGCGCCGGCGGGAUAAAGCACCCUGGUCUGGCAGCUGGGGAAGGAGGCACCCAGGUCCUUGGGAAGGCGCCAGUGGGGGCCUCCAGUCCCUUUCCACGUCCUUCUAAAUCGACCAGGAGUGACCCCGGCCCGUGCCCUGCCUCGUCCGAUCCGAGGCAGCUCCCUUCUCCCCGCCUGUCGUGUUCUCCUGGGGUGAUCGCUGUCCCAUCUCCCCCGCAGGCGGCCCCGGGCCACGGCCCCGCACCGCCUGGACAAGGAGUUGUGUUUCUGGGGCAGCCGGGGCCCGGUCUUGCCGGCCCCCGCCGCCCGCCGCAGCCUGGGCGACUACUGGCUGAGCCCGCAGCGCCGCCACCCUCCGGGUGCCGCCUGGCGCUGGCCCGCACGGAACCUGUUAUUGCUGCCCGGGGCCACCUGCCUGGCCGACGUGCCCUCAGCGCGCUGGCCAAGCUGCUACGGCGCGCGCCCGAGACUCACGUGGAAGCACCGGUGGCAGAAUAUUAACUACUAUUUUCUGGGCAAAAGGAAGAGACAUCUAGUUCCCUUGCGCCCGUGAGAGCCGGUGAGGGGCGGGGCCAUAGGGGGCGCGGUCUGUGGGCGGGGCCUCGUGGAGGGGCGGGUCUGGGCGGGGCCUAGC